rnacentral:rRNA from 1 species
AAUCCUACGGGGGGCAGCAGUGGGGAAUAUUGCACAAUGGGGGAAACCCUGAUGCAGCGACGCCGCGUGAGUGAAGAAGUAUUUCGGUAUGUAAAGCUCUAUCAGCAGGGAAGAAAUAGCGACCUUUGGGUCGCCAGACGGUACCUGAUUAAGAAGCCCUGGCUAACUACGUGCCAGCAGCCGCGGUAAUACGUAGGGGGCAAGCGUUAUCCGGAUUUACUGGGGGUAAAGGGAGCGUAGACGGCAGGGAAAGUCUGGAGUGAAAGCCCGGGGCCCAACCCCGGG